AUGGGAAACAGGUUAAUAUUCCUGUACUUGGUGUUACUGCGAAGGGGGGACGGAGAAGGCUAUGUUGGCCGGGCGACGGUUGUCCCGGUUUAAGCGUGUAGGCUGGUUUUCCAGGCAAAUCCGGAAAAUCAAGGCUGAGGCGUGAUGACGAGGCACUACGGUGCUGAAGCAACAAAUGCCCUGCUUCCAGGAAAAGCCUCUAAGCAUCAGGUAACAUCAAAUCGUACCCCAAACCGACACAGGUGGUCAGGUAGAGAAUACCAAGGCGCUUGAGAGAACUCGGGUGAAGGAACUAGGCAAAAUGGUGCCGUAACUUCGGGAGAAGGCACGCUGAUAUGUAGGUGAAGUCCCUUGCGGAUGGAGCUGAAAUCAGUCGAAGAUACCAGCUGGCUGCAACUGUUUAUUAAAAACACAGCACUGUGCAAACACGAAAGUGGACGUAUACGGUGUGACGCCUGCCCGGUGCCGGAAGGUUAAUUGAUGGGGUCAGCGCAAGCGAAGCUCUUGAUCGAAGCCCCGGUAAACGGCGGCCGUAACUAUAACGGUCCUAAGGUAGCGAAAUUCCUUGUCGGGUAAGUUCCGACCUGCACGAAUGGCGUAAUGAUGGCCAGGCUGUCUCCACCCGAGACUCAGUGAAAUUGAACUCGCUGUGAAGAUGCAGUGUACCCGCGGCAAGACGGAAAGACCCCGUGAACCUUUACUAUAGCUUGACACUGAACAUUGAGCCUUGAUGUGUAGGAUAGGUGGGAGGCUUUGAAGUGUGGACGCCAGUCUGCAUGGAGCCGGCCUUGAAAUACCACCCUUUAAUGUUUGAUGUUCUAACGUGGACCCGUGAUCCGGGUUGCGGACAGUGUCUGGUGGGUAGUUUGACUGGGGCGGUCUCCUCCUAAAGAGUAACGGAGGAGCACGAAGGUUGGCUAAUCCUGGUCGGACAUCAGGAGGUUAGUGCAAUGGCAUAAGCCAGCUUGACUGCGAGCGUGACGGCGCGAGCAGGUGCGAAAGCAGGUCAUAGUGAUCCGGUGGUUCUGAAUGGAAGGGCCAUCGCUCAACGGAUAAAAGGUACUCCGGGGAUAACAGGCUGAUACCGCCCAAGAGUUCAUAUCGACGGCGGUGUUUGGCACCUCGAUGUCGGCUCAUCACAUCCUGGGGCUGAAGUAGGUCCCAAGGGUAUGGCUGUUCGCCAUUUAAAGUGGUACGCGAGCUGGGUUUAGAACGUCGUGAGACAGUUCGGUCCCUAUCUGCCGUGGGCGCUGGAGAACUGAGGGGGGCUGCUCCUAGUACGAGAGGACCGGAGUGGACGCAUCACUGGUGUUCGGGUUGUCAUGCCAAUGGCACUGCCCGGUAGCUAAAUGCGGAAGAGAUAAGUGCUGAAAGCAUCUAAGCACGAAACUUGCCCCGAGAUGAGUUCUCCCUGACCCUUUAAGGGUCCUGAAGGAACGUUGAAGACGACGACGUUGAUAGGCCGGGUGUGUAAGCGCAGCGAUGCGUUGAGCUAACCGGUACUAAUGAACCGUGAGGCUUAACCUUACAACGCCGAAG
rnacentral:rRNA from 1 species